AUUGAACGCUGGCGGCAUGCCUAACACAUGCAAGUCGAACGAGUGGCGGACGGGCGAAUAGGGUCUGGGAAACUGCCUGACGUAGGGAGCAAACUACUGGAAACGGUAGCUAAAACUGCAUACCAUCAGAUGUGCCCAGAUGGGAUUAGCUAGUGGGGGGGGAAACGGCUCACCAAGGCGACGAUCCCUAGCUGGUCUGAGAGGCUGACCAGCCACACUGGGACUGAGACACGGCCCAGACUCCUACGGUAGGCAGCAGUGGGGAAUAUUGGGCAAUGGGCGCAAGCCUGAUGGAGCCAUGCCGCGUGUAUGAAGAAGGUCUUCGGGUCGUAAAGUACUGUCAGUGGGGAGGCGUUAUCCGCAGAAGAAGCACCGGCUAACUCCGUGCCAGCAGCCGCGGUAAUAC
rnacentral:rRNA from 1 species